UACGUAGGGACCAAGCGUUGUUCGGAUUUACUGGGCGUAAAGGGCGCGUAGGCGGCGUGGUAAGUCAGCUGUGAAAUCUCCGAGCUUAACUCGGAACGGUCAGCUGAUACUGCUGUGCUAGAGUACAGAAAGGGCAAUCGGAAUUCUUGGUGUAGCGGUGAAAUGCGUAGAUAUCAAGAGGAACACCUGAGGCGAAGGCGGGUUGCUAGGCUGAUACUGACGCUGAGGCGCGAAAGCGUGGGUAGCAAACAGG
rnacentral:rRNA from 1 species